GAACGUCGUCGCUCGACGCGUAAUCUCAGGACAAGAAAGCACCGUUUGCAAGAGUUUAAGCAAUCGAGGUUGAUCGUUGUCAAAGCCGAGGAGGUGUUGGGACAGAAGAUUGAACAAGUAGGAAGAUAGCUGAUGUAGUAUGUCUUCAUAUAUAUUACAUUUGUCUUGGUACUCUUCCGUUUGCAAAUUUAGAACUUGUUUUUAGCAAAGACAAUUGUCCCACGACUACUCUGAUUCAGUAUGAUUUGUACCCUCAACACAUUUUAGACAAUGUUUCCUUUGAAUUAAGCAUCUUAUGAUGAGUUGAGACAGUUUCA